ACGUACUUGAACAGAAUGGGAGAAAGGAGGGCUUGCAGUGUUUUUGGAUGUUUUGCACCCAUAAACCUCACACCACACAAGCUGCGCAUACAGAGGAUGCUGACUGGACAUUAGUGAAGCUGUGGAAACAGCAGAGUAUUGCAAGAAAAUGGAGUGAGAAAAGUGAAGUAAGUUAGAGGCAGCGUAACAUAAGCCUGAGCUAGGCGUGCUAACCUGGGACAACAGGAUGUGCUUGGAGCAACCAGGGAGAAAAGAGAUCUUGACAAUACCAUUUUGGAUUUUGAAGACCAGGUUCAGGUACGACAAUGCACGUAGUAAUUCUGCUGGUGGUAUAGAAGGCAAUGUGGUCAGUAUUGAAAGGUUUAAAUGCAAACACAAUUUAGAAAAGAAAAUCAGGAUUAAGCAAAGAAAGCAAAUGAGUUUCUGUUAAUUUUCUUUUUAGGGUAAGAAUAGUUCAGGACAUAAUAGUGUGAUGUGAGGGCUUGCAGCUUGCUUCUUGGCUUUCACAAGUAGUUGGAGAGCAGCUUGAACCAGUGAUUGAGCAUCUGGUGGGAAGCCAACCCAUGGGAGCUCAGGUGCAUGCAAUGCAAUGCAAUGCAUCUGAGUGACUGGAAGGGAUGCAGUCAGGAUCCACCCCCUCCCAGAUCUCAUUUAAGGGCUGGCAGCGGAGGCAAGGGGAUCUUGCUGGAGCUUCUUAUCUACCUGAUGCUUUCUGGAGAUAACCGAAGCGAGAACACUUCGGGUCCAGUGCUGGGUCUCCAGUUAAACACCAGAAGUUUGGGCAAGGAUCUUCCUGUUUGCAUCUCUGAACAUCCAGAUUAAAGCUAAGUUUCUGGUCUGGUUAUGGUAAAUCCUGGGUUUUGCAAGUCUCCAACAAGACAGUUUAGAAAAGAAUUCAGGUAGCACUGCAUGCAUUGUAAUUUAAAAUACUGUAUGAAAAUUACUAUUGUAAAAAUACUGUCUGAAUUUGAAGAUCAUAAUGUAUGGAACCCUGGCAUGAUCAAUAAUAUUACAGAUGUUAAUUGAAAUACUGAAUAGUCGAUGCUCCUCUUGGAGUGCAGGUACUUCUGUGGUACACAAAAGACAAUUUCUAACUGUGAUUUGUGAGGUAUCUGCAGAACCACGUUGCAGUUUGUAAACAAUCUGAAAACAACUUUGUCUCCAAACCAUAAUAAAUUUAAUAAACCGGCACGAGGGAGAGAAUGAAAUGUAUGUUCUGUAGGGCAACCACUGCACUUGUUGCAGCACCAGUUCUCCCUGCUGCAUGUUAAAUGGUACAAAUCCACAUGUUAAUUAUUAUCAUUCACUUUGAAUUUAUUGCUCUCAGUCUUUGACUACAAGAUAAAGAAUAAGGCAGCAGUUCCCAAAACACAUGAGAUUAGGCACUGGAACUCUGACAACUUGUGCAGGUUUUGCUUGUUUCCUGUUUAUAACUCUGAAGCUGGACAGAACACUUGUACAUUCCAAACGUGUUCAACAGCAGUUGUCUGGCCUUGAACUGAACUUCCUCCCAUUUAGAUGAGCUACCAGGAACUGCAAAAACCAGGGAAAGAUUUCAUAAUUCUUGUAAUAUUCAACCCUUUAAAAAAUGCACAAUUAAACUGUCUUCAUAUUUACCACAUGGUCUUACCAACUCAGAUGUCUUUAUUCAAACUCCCUUAUCAAUUUUCUAUUGUUCUGUGGCUGUGAUACAAUAUGCACACAUCUUUAUCUUUUAUCUGGAACCGUAUCUAGGUAAAACUGUCUCUGUUAAGUAGGGGUAUGCAGAAAGCUUUCUUUCCAAGAACUGAUAUGCUUGAUAUUGUGUUAGAUAUCAAUAUCAGCAUGUUUUGGCAACAUGUUCAACUUUCCAUAAAUCAGAUCUUUGCAUUAGGGAAUUUCUGAAGAGAAGUACUUAACCCCAUCAAACAGGGGGAAAAAAAAAAUUCUCUACUGGAUCAACAUGUCUCAGCAUAAAUUAUUUUCUUUCUUCGCCUAACUUCCAUUUACACUUUGUCCUUGUGGGUAAAUGGUUUCUAUAUCUCACUGUACGAAAUUACAAAUGAUAGUUUUUGGUUUUUUUUCCCAGAAUGCCAUUUCCUGGAUGUGAGUACGUAAGAACAUAAAGAUGAGUGAUAAAGUGGUUUGAGUUUUGUCAUCUGCCCCACCCCUGGCUGGACUAAAAUUGCCAUAUAGCAGCUUACCUAAUUGCAAGUGGACUAUGGCAGUUGUUUUUCCUGCAGUGAGAGACCAAACAUUUAAAUCUUCUAUAGAAUAAACAUCUUCAAUUUUCAUCAAGUCUUCUUUAAUACGAUCCACAUCUAAAUGCCUCGGGACUCCUGUGAUACCAAACCCCAUUCUCUGGAGCUCCUGAGGACCAGUUGGAAAAGCUCUGUAACAUACACUAAGACCACCUUUCAUCACCGUAAUAACAUCGUUAAUUCAGACAUCUUUAUAACAGCUGGGAUGCAAACAGAAGUCGGCAAUAAUUCAUAUGAAACAGAUGGGAUGGUGCAGGCAACCUUCAUCCAAAUGGGGAGUCAAGGACAGGCAGUGUCGUCUUCCAUCUGCAUGAAGAUAACCCCAUUUUCUCAGAAAAGACCACAUCUCCAGCGUCAGCUCAACUAUUACUUCAUUUCUCAUUUUACUUUGAGAUCAUUCAAACUGGAGAUUCUAGCAAGCAGAGCAUGCAGCUGGCGUGCCACUUGGCAGGCUUCAGGCUCCAGCCAACAUAUCUCGAGUAAAGGUAUCUUUGUACGCAAUUAAAAGCCUCUUAGUGAAAAGGCUGACCACGAGGAAAGAGUGAAGGGAAAUUCACAGCAGGCUGACUGCUUUCAAGAUCAGUGAAAAACAUGUGCAGCCAUCUAUCUGGGAGUGCCCACCUGCAGAGCUACGCCCUUCUUCCCAGCCACACAAAUAGCAAGGCUGACACUGCGGGGGUUCCUUGUUCUGCCUGUAACUACUGACUGCACCUACCUCUGUUCCACCUGUUCCUGUCCCCCAACCCCUUUAUUAAGAUGUCUCUAAGUCUCAGAGUGAAACUUAGAGGUUGAAACUCUGCACAGGCCAUCACAGCUCAAAGAUAAUUUGCUUUCUCACAUAAUUUCAGAAGAUAUGUCCUAGCAAUGUGCAACUCAGCCUGUUCUAUUGUCAGCACAGAAUAAAACAAUUACGUCUAAGGACAUUCACUUCAAUGCUUUCUGCAUAUGAUCAUUUACAGUACAUAUGUUAAUCCAUGAGUAUGAAAUUGAGAAGUGCUUCAGCCCAAGGUAAGCCAACUCCAUUUCAGCUAGUCUCUCCAGAGACUACAUAAACAGAGAAUUCAGAUAUUAAAAGUAGUCUUACUGGAGCACGUGAUCGAGAAAGUAUCAUUGAGAUGAAUGAAAUUCUGAAUUCGAAGGCCCUCUGUUUCCCACUACAUAGGUUCACUGCUUGGCGAAGUGCUGCCCGGGGGCUGCUGAAACACAAUCAACAACUUGAGAGGGAGAAAACAGGAAAACAGACAUCUACAACUUUCAUGAAGAAGCCUUGAAAGCUCACCACUGUUUUCACCAACCUGUGAAGGACAGCAGUCCUCCUUGUGAAUGAUCAAUUAGAAAUCUCUGAACAUAACUGAAUGCAUCAAAAAGCUGUCAAGGAAGGUGACUGGAUUUGCGUUGUUUUCUGUUUCUUCAUGCAAAACAGUUCCCACAAAGCGAUCUGACUUCUACAGUGACUGUUCUUCAAAUUAAGCAACCAACACUGAUGUGGGCUGGAUUCAUGAGCUUGGCAGUAAUUGGAAAAAAACAUAUGCCAAUUGAGAUUUCACAAAGCAGCUGCUGGAACACAAUUUCCUUCAUCUUGACAUUGGUACCAGACAGCAGAAAGUUUUCUACCAAAUUGUCUGACAGGCUCUUCUGCCCUUCCUGCAGAAAUUCAAAUCUGGCAAAGAUAACAGGAAGAGGUCUGUUAAUGUCCCACAUAGCCAAAGUCUCCCAAAUACUUUGGCUAUAGGUUUGUCUAAAAAGUGCCAAAAUUUCAAACCAAAUGGGUCAGAACUCAACCCUGGGCCAGAGUGAAAUACACAGAACAGUUAGUGUGCUGACUUAGGGCUUGCACGCUUCUUCUUCACUUAUUCUGCUGCUGAUUGCCUGCCAUAUGACAAGGUAUUCACGUCAAGACCUACAAAAGUGCACAGAUGCCCAAGUCCUACUUGUUCUCUCUGGAAAUUGGAUGCCUGAAUAUUUUAUGGGUCUGGGCCUCAGCGCUGUCUGCCGCAGUGCCCAAAUACUGCACCAGGGCUGGUAACCGCAUACAGGAACCUGAGAAUGAUGAGUCCACACUACAGCAGCAAUGCUUCAUAAGGAGAAAUCAGUCACUCUGACCUGAGCCUGCAGAAGUCCUGGUCGUAAGGGAGAAACAGUGGAUAAAGUGACAGUGAUAUUUUUCCUCUCAACACCUAUUAUUUCUGGAGCUGACCAGGCACUAGAUAUGGAGAUAUCUACAACAGUGUGAAAACAGACUCUGUGACUUCAGCAUCAAGCUGCCAACAGCUCAGGAACAUUACUCAGCAUUGUGCCCUUCAGAUGGACUAAAUUCAGUGUGUAUCAGAAUGCUAUGUGAGUACAAUUAAAUGAAGUCACGCUUACCACAAAUGAUGUCCACAGCUGAGAAGCAACACUACACUAACACUAAUCCCUCAUCAAAUUUACCUGAGUUCACACUGUGCCAAAAUCUCAGCCAGAGAAAAAAGAGCCAGAGGCAAAUGAAGGCAUUCAACCAGAUCCCUGCAAGCCUGAAGCCGAGUGCUGAUCUGUGAUGAGCUGAUGCAUUGUGCCAGUGUUACUAACGAUUAACCGCACAUUGAAAGCGAGGUGCUGAGAGACAAAGCCACUGUUUUCUCUUAACCCACAUUCCUGAAACAAGGCGCAAACAAAACUGCGGUGCAGAUGCAGUCAGUUAUCUGCUCUCCUUCUGAAAAAAAUGGCCAUUUCUCAUACCACUUUUUAUUUUGCUCUAUGAAUGUGGGACAAACGGUAUCAUUUUGUGGUACAAUACCUGAGGCAUCUUUCCUUCAAAUUCAUUUCUUCUGUUUUUUUGGCUGGUGAAUUAUGGCCACUAAAUACACUAAAUUUUCUAUUAUUUGGACCUGUGUGUUAAAAUGUGAGCAAUUUGAAUGAAAUUAGUUGUCAAUCAUUGUCUGCUGCUAAAAAGAUUGGGCUCAAGUUAACAGACUGUCUAAUAACUGAUGGUGCAGUGCAUCCCGUCCAGGCACUGUGCAUCACUCCCUGCUGCUUCAAACCAGCCAAAAUGAAGGAGUUUCAGCAUUCUGCAGGUGGCUGAGCAGCCUCAAGUGCUUGCACUGAACAUCAUGGGCAGAUCCAAAACCAGGUGGUAACAGGCAUUGAUACUGCAUUGGUAAGUGAUCAAAGAUAAAUAGUACACCUCGUAAAAAUGGGUAGAUAAUGGCAAAGGCAUAACAUUUAAUACCAUAACAUUUAAUACCAUCCGGAGGACUUCAGACCUUAAAUUUUAUGUUAAGCCCUGUCACUGUAGCCACUAAAUACAGUUGUGUUUUGUACAGACUGCUCUAUUAUGCACAGGUUCUACUCAACCUUAAUAGCAAAUGACAGCAUGCCUUUAUGAGAGAGUAAUAAAAGCUGAACUUGAGCACCAGACUCACUCUUCUAGGUAAAACCAGCAGAUCUUUUCCAAGUACUAACAAACAAAAACCACAAAGAACGUGAUUUAACCAAGGAACUUGCAGUGUGAACUGCUAACGUGAUUUAACCAAGGAACUUAACACUGUGAAGUGUUAAAACGUCGCUUGUUCUAACUUGGAUCAUAUGUUUUAUGUCUGGUUGGAGCACACACUGGUCCAGAGCACCGUGGGACAUCAGGAAGUUGUCAAGAGAGCAUUCUGCACUGCACUGUUGGGCAGUUUGUCUUCCAGACUACAUCACUGGAUCUGACAGCUAGAGAUAAAUCCCAAUAUAGGUUUUGUCAUUAUGUUAACGUCACUCUUGGAAACUCUAUUUGCCUGCUGUCCUUGCAAACACAGCAAGAUUUUAUGGCAAUAAUUAAAAAACACUGGAGAUAAAAUUACCCAUCCUUCAUGCAUACCCGUGUGACAGCACGCAGUCCUCCCUUGACAAUCAGACCUUAGAAACUUACAGAACAGGAGCAAUACAAAGCUGCGAGCCAACAAAAUGCCCACUUUGUGCCAUUUCGGGGAGGCGAUGAGCUUCAGAAGAAAUCCUUGCUGAACGCCUCGCAGGUCCCGAACUCAGCAGCGCCUGGAGCAGCUACAUCCAGCCCUUCCACUGUAACAGAGCUCCUCGCGUGAGCGACACAGGAUCGCUGAGCACGGGAAAGGGAGAAAGAGAGACUUCUGUCAACCUCAUUUUUGGGGCGCUGGGUUCGAUAAACAAGCUUUAAGCGCUCUGGAGAAGCAGGCACCCAAUUUAAGUUCCCAUCCAGCCUAUUCCCGCAGGGCGUGGGAUGCCCGGAACAGGCAGAGCACAAAUCCGAAACGCCCACGGCUCCAGCACGGCUACAUCAGAAGGAUUAUCUCACUUUUCUUUCUGAGCCCCAUCUGCGAGCUGCGCAGCCCUCACUCACAAAGCCUGAAGUUUCCCGUCACCCCUGAGCCAGCGACUCGGAGCAGGAAGCGGCCUUUCCGUGCAGGCCGAGCUCUGCAGCACUUCAGCCGCUCCCCACGGC